rnacentral:tRNA from 1 species
UGGCUCAGAGGUUGAGAGCACUGGCUGCUUUUCCAGAGGUUCUGAGUUCAAUUCUCAG